rnacentral:rRNA from 1 species
UACAGAGGUCUCAAGCGUUGUUCGGAUUCAUUGGGCGUAAAGGGUGUGUAGGUGGCGCGCUAAGUCGGGUGUGAAAUUUCGGAGCUUAACUCCGAAACUGCAUUCGAUACUGGCGUGCUUGAGGACUGGAGAGGAGACUGGAAUUCAUGGUGUAGCAGUGAAAUGCGUAGAGAUCAUGAGGAAGACCAGUGGCGAAGGCGGCUCUCUGGACCGAUACUGACGCUGAGGCGCGAAAGCGUGGGGAGCAAACAGG